CCUACGGGAGGCAGCAGUGAGGAAUAUUGGACAAUGGGCGCAAGCCUGAUCCAGCCAUGCCGCGUGCAGGAAGAAGCAUCUAUGGUGUGUAAACUGCUUUUGUACAGGAAGAAACACUCCCUCGUGAGGGAGCUUGACGGUACUGUAAGAAUAAGGACCGGCUAACUCCGUGCCAGCAGCCGCGGUAAUACGGAGGGUCCGAGCGUUAUCCGGAAUCAUUGGGUUUAAAGGGUCCGUAGGCGGUUUAAUAAGUCAGUGGUGAAAUCUGGUCGCUCAACGAUCAAACGGCCAUUGAUACUGUUAGACUUGAAUUAUAAGGAAGUAACUAGAAUAUGUAGUGUAGCGGUGAAAUGCUUAGAUAUUACAUGGAAUACCAAUUGCGAAGGCAGGUUACUACUUAUGGAUUGACGCUGAUGGACGAAAGCGUGGGGAGCGAACAGGAUUAGAUACCCUGGUAGUCCACGCCGUAAACGAUGGAUACUAGCUGUUCGGAGCAAUCUGAGUGGCUAAGCGAAAGUGAUAAGUAUCCCACCUGGGGAGUACGUUCGCAAGAAUGAAACUUAAAGAGUAGUAGCGNGAGAGAGACGACGACGACGACGACGGAGGGAGGAGG
rnacentral:rRNA from 1 species